rnacentral:rRNA from 1 species
GACGAACGCUGGCGGCGUGCUUAACACAUGCAAGUGGAGCGACGAACCGGGGCUUGCCCCGGGGCGAGAGCCGCGAACGGGUGAGUAACACGUGGGUAACCUGCCUCAAUGAUUGGGACAACCCGGGGAAACUCGGGCUAAUACCAAAUGUGUUCACUCCUUCUAAGGGGAGUGAGGAAAGGAAGCUUCGGCCUCCGCAUUGAGAUGGGCCCGCGGCCCAUUAGCUUGUUGGUGAGGUAACGGCUCACCAAGGCUUCGAUGGGUAGCUGGUCUGAGAGGACGAUCAGCCACACUGGGACUGAGACACGGCCCAGACUCCUACGGGAGGCAGCAGUGGGGGAAUCUUGCACAAUGCGCGAAAGCGUGAUGCAGCAACGCCGCGUGGGGGAAGACGGCCUUCGGGUUGGUAAACCCCUUUACC